rnacentral:sRNA from 1 species
UUGAUAUCCCUGAAGGCUGAAAUCCUUUUAAUUUGUCCGCAAAACAGAGCAAGAGCGGCAGGAGUGCAAAUUAUCCAUAUAAUCCCAGCAAUAUGCCUCACUCUUGAACUGGUGAGGUCCUUCUAGGAGUGAGAGGGUAUUUCGUUCUACAUGCCCAUUCAGCUCUUGGCCUCU